CCCCCCCCCACCUUUUCAAUUUAUUCCAGGUCUAGGGCUGGGUGCUGCAUCUACGCACUUUAAGUAGAAAUUAACGGAAGCUGUUCAAGUAUUCCUGAACUAUAUGGAUAUAACUUUUGAAUGUUAAUUAACUGUUUUUUUUGUUGUUGUUGUUGUUCAAUUACUAAAAUAGUUAUAUAGGAAAGGUAAGAGAUGUGCCUUAGAUCUGUCUCUUUGCCUUUGAUAUUCGUGUUUUCUGGCUUGAAUACAAAAGUACAAAACUUAAGAUUAUCUUUUGGGAUCAAAGGCAUUAUGGAGGCAUGGCAUUAAAUGGAGCUGGAGAGGAAGGAGGGAACCUAAUACACCAAUAAACUUACAGGGAAGGUAGAUUUUUGCAGCUGUAGGGAGAUGCAGUACUUGAGAGGAAAUGAGUAAGAUCUAAAUUAUAGUUUGAGCUCUGGAGCUAGGAACGUAACAUAAGAUUUCAGCAAUGUUGUGUAGUUCAGAAUUGCAAGAUUUCAAGGGCAAGGAAGGGGGGAAAUGGCUCAAAAGAAAGGAGGGAGUUCAGUUUACUUUCUCUUAUGAAUUGACAGCUACAGCAUAUCUACAGCAGAAUCCAGUGUCUCUAGAAAGCCCUCAAGGAAAUGGUAGAGAUCUUGUUCAAAGAAAUUUUGUACUGCAGGAAGUGAAGUGACCUCUGUAAAGAAAACUAAACCAAUGUUGGUAUACUGAGUCUGAAAAGAUGAGGAUGAGGUAAACUUGCAUUUUGAUUUUUAUAUGAAACAAGCAGAAUUGAGGUUCCUCAGCACAAGAGUAAAUCUUGUUAAGUUCUGUGGUGGUGGUGGGGGGAAAGGCCUAAGUAAGUUUUAGCUUGGCCGCUGUACCUAUCCAGAACUGCUGUUGUCUUGACUGAGUUAGUUAGGUUUUAUCCUCUAGUUUAAGGCUUCCUCGGUGGAGCCAAGCAUUCCCAAUGUGGUUUGAAUGUGCCAAAUGCACACACACAGGAUGGAGAUCAUUAGUAAGAGCCACUUUUAUUCAAAAACAGGGCAGGAGGAGGAAGAGGCAUCAUGCUUCCUUUUGCAUGAUGCUCCCUCAGAGACCUGAUGUGGAAUGCACUACACCAGUUUUAAGCACCAAACCUGUGCCUGUAGCUUAGAUGCCCAGCAAACUAGGCUGCCUAAAGUGCCCGAAUUCCCUGUGUGGUUGAUGGGAGAAGUGAUUUGGAAGGCCUCCGAGGAAGAGCUGCUUGUUCCCUGAGGCAGCCAGCAGGGCACCCCAGCCUUUGGGGGAGCCAGGGCUCCCUUAAAAGCUGCUGGAGAGAAGUGGGGGAAGGUGGGCUCUGGUGCUGGGUGCUCAAGUCAAACCUAAAUGCACGGAAGGGGGAAGACAGUUGCAGAUAGCGUGGUAAGAAAAGACAGAAUAGGGUGUCAGGUAAAUUUCCUGCAGAUUAAUUGAGCUCGUGCUUGCUGCAUACUGAUACAAAGGGAUGUGGAUUAAAAAGUCUCUUUUCUGAGGCUAUUCAUCUCUUGGGGUGGGAAGAGGAGAGCUGGUUUACUCUGGAUUGGUGAUGCUGAGAACACCUCCUGGGUUGAAACAUGAGCCUCCCUCCCUCCUCAGGAGGUAAAUUUCCUGGAUGUUUAAUGACUGCUGAAUACUCCCACCUGUGUCCCCAGCUGGAUGGCACGAAUGGCAGUGCAAAUCAACUUGCAUCCAUUUGAACCAUGGUUUCUGUGCCAUUUACUCAUGUUCUUUCCUUUUGCUUGCUGAGCAUAUAAUACUAUCAAUCAUGUAGAAACAAGAAAACAUGGUGCGGAAUGAUUAAGCCUUGGCUAUCUAAUGUGAACAAACAACAUGCAAGACUUAACUAGAUAAAGAUGGACUUCAGGGUUUUUUUUUUUACCUCAGUGUUUUAUAAAGUCCUGUAUUUGUUUCAGUGGGAAUUUUGAGGAAAUUGUGAAGUUAGGCUCAAAGUACUGGGUAUCUUAUACUAAUGCUGCUAAUACAUUUCCAUUUCUCUUUCUUGUUUUCUGUCCCUUUGUUAAUUUUUCAGUUAUAGGGGCCUGCAAUAAGGUGCCAUUGGUCUUCUCUUGCAGACAGAAGCUGUUGCCCUGGAUGCACCAUUUCUUCUCCCCUCUGCCUGAGGAGAAGCACCGGUGGUAGGGCUGGCUGAUUUUUUUUUGAACUACCACUCCACAGGGUGAGAAGGCACGUAGCCAGCUUGUGUACCUGGCAGACUUAAAUCAUCCAAUGAAGCAAAGUUAUAAAAAGAUGUGUAAGGCUGGAGGAAGAUGGGAAAAAGAAAGCUGAGCUGUUGCUAAUGGGAGGGUAGGAGACUCUUCUAACUCUUGGAGAAGAGAAGACAGGAGAAAUCCCAAGCUGCUAGCACUGAUCUACAGCUGGAAGUUGAAGAUAGUGGAAGAUACACAGGCAAUGUUCGAAAAUUGUCUGUGCCGUAAAGCUGCGAAAUGGUGGAGCAGAAGGGGAAGGAAGCCAGGUGGGAAGCUGCACAAGGCAGAAGUCUCUGAUGCUGGCUGAAGAAGACUCUGCUGACAAGCUGGAGGUUCCCUGUUCACUGGCUUCCUUCAUGGGGCUUCUGUUGGAGUUGAGACUGGGGUGUGUGCCUGCGCAGGAGUUGCCACCGUUGACUGCAACAGCAAGCUUUGCAACACACUUCACGAGGCCGUCCUCUUGAAAAGCAUUUCCUCUGUGGUUCCAGAGAGUUUCUUUUGUACAAUUUACCUGAUUUUUACUUUCUGUUCUCUUUAACUUAUCCUUCCGGAGUUCAUUUCUGUGUUCUUGAAUUUCACUAUUCUGUUUGAAUUUGAAUUUAUUGCUGUCUUGCUCAUCUUGUUUGUAGCUGUUCACUUCGUGAGUGUAUCCAGGUGAUUGUACUUCUUCUGGAUCAAAAAUAUAGCUGGUGUAGGGAAAAUUUAUAAAGGAAAUGUUAAUUAUGCUGUUAAUUAGAAUAUGAAAAAGGAUUAUGCUUAACUUAAGCCGACGGUCUUGAGGAACUCAUGCCACUAAGCUUUACCUGUGAUGUGAAUGCCAUGAUGAACUGUGCUGUAGCCUGCAGUCUCCUGCGGGAGACAGUAACUAACUCCUGGAGUGAGAUUCACCAGGAGCACAGAAAGAUGUCAGCUGGUUGUUCCAUGUUUCCAGCUUUAUUUUUUAUUUCCUCUUGAGGGUAGAUUAGCCAACGAGUAGUCAUCAUACAGACCGUUUAUUUAAUAUGUCCUCAUGUAACUGCCAAAAUCUAUCCCCCCCCCCAUUCUUCCUCUCAAGUCUUGUCUCUUUGUCCUUUUCUCUUUGUAUUUUUGUCUUCUCCUCUUUCCUUUCUCUUUACUGUUUUUCUCACCCUCCUAAUUUUUCCUCAAGUUAUUUCUUUCAAAGCCUCUCUUUCUUCUUUCUUUCUUCUCUUUCAUAUCAUCAGCUUUCUUUCCUGCUUCCUUACCCGUUUUAGAGAUGUGGUCAGGAGCGAUCAUCAAGUGGGGCUGAAGUGUUGUCUUUCUAGAACUGGCAAACUUCUACUGAGAGAGACUUUUGAUAUGGGAGUUGUUCUCACAAUUAACUACGUUUAAAAGCUAUGGAAGCAAGGAUCUGUAGCUCAUUUUCAGUGUUUAGGGGAGAGGAAGGAUCUGACAAAGUCUGUUCUUCUCACUCUACUAACUGAGAAAAAACUUUGGUGAAGAUGAAUUUUGAAUGCCACACAACUUUUCUGUGGGUUAGGAAAUACAGAAAUGAACCUUGAUUACAAUAAAUCAAAAGGAUGUUCAUAGGAAGUCAGAAUACCUGUGCUCUGACAUGACUUUAUAAAAACUGUAAAUUUUGUGUUAAUUCCAAGCUGGUAAAUAGUCUUAAUUUAAGCAACAAAUAUAGAGGAGCACAGACAUAUGUUUUAGUGCUUUUCUUUUUUUCAGUCUAAGCAUUUUUUGUUCUGUUGUACCUUUGUAUCAUUUUGCAGCACCUGCACCCCAUCUGGAUUUUCUUUAAUCUGAAAAGAGAGAGAGGGAAAGCAAGGGAGAGGGGAAAUGAGUGAAGUAUUAUGAAAUUAAUGCAUGGGCAAUUGCAUUGAAAAUGAUGCUUAUGUUUAGAAGGGUUUUAUUGGUUAAAAAGAAAUGCCUACACAAGAGUGAUCUAGUGCAGUACAGUUCAAGGCCUUUCUAGGUUCCUAUAUUGCAUUAACAAUAGCCUUUAGGUGACAUCUGGGGAAGAAGUUAACAUCUUAAGCAUGUAGUGGUGUUCUCCCACAGUAUUUUCCUAGCCUCCAGCAGCUUCGUGGCUUGGAGCAUCGUAAUUCAGGGAGUAGUGUUUCUGUAUUUGGUAUCCAUUGACUUCUCUUCCAUGAAUUUGUCCACGUGUUUUCUGAACUCAGUUAAACUGUUAGUAUCCACAACAUCCUGUAGUGAGGAGUUUCAUAGCUCAGCUUUGCACUACUUGAAGAACCACCUGCUUUUGUUUGAUAUGAUCCUGUUUCCUACUAGCAGUAUUUGAUGUCUUCUAGUUUUUGUAUUAAAAGGAGACAAGUGAGCAUUUCUUCCUAUUGUCACUCUGUUACAGGUCCUGUACUCCCCCUUUAGUUAUGUUUUUCAGCCUGAAGAAUCCUAGCUUUCUUAAAUGUUACCCAUCUGUCAUGGCUUUAGAUGGUCCUUGUCAUCCUCGUCUGGAUCUUACCGACUUCUAUGCCCUUCUUAAAUGAGGGGUGGGAACUGCAAAUGCAGUAUUUUCAAGAUUUGGGGAACCAUAGACUUAUUCUUUCCUAAUAACUCCUGCCCCAGUUCUGUUGGCUCUGCGACAGCUAACUGUGGUGACAUUGCUCGUAGGGCUAUCCCUUAUUCCUCUGGUUAGAUGCAGACAUAUUGCUGGGAUUGGUACUUUAUUAUGCUCAGUGCAAGUGUUGCACCUGUAUUUUACUAGAGUAAAUUCUUCUAAGUUUGACCAGAGCUGUCAAAACGCUGCGUUUUACUACAUGUCUGUAUACUGCAAGGUUUCUGUGUACGUGCAUCAUUGCCUGAUUUAGUGAGAUGCUAAGCACCACCUGUUAUGUGGUUCAUAACAAUGAAGUCUUUUAGUAUGAGCAGAAAUAGUUUGUUAAUAUGGGCCCUUGAGAACCUUUAUUUUCUGAACCUAAAGUGAAGAGACAGAUCUGAACCUCCCAAAUCCUUGAACAAAACAUUCUUAAUUCUGUGGGUUGGGGCUAUCUUGGCUUGUGUUAAUGGAGCCAGGAUGCAUUGUAAAUCUCUUUUUACCUGUUGUUAUUCAGGCCUCUCUAUUUCUCAAUAUGCUCUACCACUUCACAUACUUUUGCUGCUGCCUAGGGACAGCAGCUCCCUUCACAGUAAGGCGGAAAUUGAUGGUGCAAGGUCAGGGUAUUUACUAGAGUGAUUUAUUCAUGAAACACCAAAGGAAAAUAGUAUUGAUUUAUUCUUACCAGGUGUGGCCUGCACUGUGUGCCACUUGUGCUAGCAGAAAUUGCAAUCAAAGCUCUGUGUGGUACAGGCUUAUUAUCUCACUUUUUUUCUCUAAAUCUGACUUCCUCUGGUGUCAGCACUGAACAUAAUGCCUGAUGUCAGGUCCCUUCAGUUGCAGAGCCUCUAAGGGGCUUGGAGCCAUUCAGCAGCUGGCUUUAGCUAGGAUAUAGCUGCUUAUAGCUGUACUCUUUGUCCUUGUCUUCACCUGAAGUGCUCUGGAGCAGAAACUUCUCUAAAGAGUGGCCAGCUGCUGUAGCUUGACGCCUGUCAGGAAGGCCUGUAAGCCGACUGCUUUGCUUCCUCUCUGUCUGGUGAUUCUUCUCUCCCUCCUUGAAAUGCAUUCUCCCUUCUACACCUCCGCUUUUUUUUCCUUUUAACCUAGAAAAUGUGAUAGCACAAAUUGCCAUACAGAAUUUUUCUUCUGAAGACUAUGCGGUAAUAACUGGUUGAAGUGGCCACAUGUGCUGGCUUUUCUUCUGUGCAGUUGCUCUGCCAUAUAAAGAAAUUUGGAUAGGUUUGGCUAGACAUGAGGCUUAUUUGAGCUCCUCAUGUAGUCAUCAUUGCCAGACAAAGAGGAACUUGUAAUAUAACUUUGUUUUGAUCUUUUUGAAGGCUGAAUUAGCUAUAGCCCUUCUUUAGAUUAAGACUGAUUUGAAGCAAAUUCAGUUGAGCUAAGUCCUAUGUGGACACUGUUUUGGUUUAACUGGCAUCUUUAGUUUUAUCAUAAACUUGCUUCUAAACUGGAAAAAAACAAGCUGCUUUAAAUUGACCAGUGGGUUAAUUGAUUCAAGUUACCAUAUGUCAGGCAAGCCACAAUAACUGUUUGUGGUCUCAGUUCAUGGGAAAGGCAACAGAAUUUGAUUUAGGUUCAGUCUCCUUCAAGGGCCUAGCUAAGCUCCAAUAAUUCUUGCUUGCCAUAGGCUAGGAGUAUGCAAAUAUUUUUUCCAGCUCUACUAUAUAAUGAUAACUUCAAUUGCCAUCAGUUGCCUUGUGAGCCCACUGAAAUGUCCACAAAGCCUCUGUCUUGGCUUUAAAAGUUAUAGUUUUGGUGAAACCACUCUAGGUUUGUACGUAGACCAGUUUUGAGAACAGAUGCUGUUUCUAGCUGGGUGUAGUUACUUCAGGUCAGACGGUUUCUGUUUAAUCUUUUCUUUGACAAAUUUCAUACUGAGUGCUGAUAUCCAUGCUUCAUAACAUUUUUUAAUUAAAAAAAAUCUUGCUCAUAGGUUUUAACCAUUGGGAAGUGCUGAUUGCUUGCUCUCUUCUAUUUGGUUGUAAAGAGGUUUGUGAUCUUUGUAGAAAGUAGUUAUAAAUGGGAAUUACUGUUGUUAUUUUCAUAAGGAGCACUUUCCUGUAUGUUUCUUUUUUCUUUUUGUAUUUACUCUCUGAAUUGUCUCUGUGGCUACUGUAUUAAGCUUUUUAGCUGAUUAGUUACAAUUGAAUUUGUCCUCUGGCAUGAAUAAACUUAUGGAAAAUA